UACGUAGGGUGCAAGCGUUGUCCGGAAUUAUUGGGCGUAAAGAGCGAGCAGGCGGUUUGGAAAGUUGGACGUGAAAUUUUAGGGCUUAACCCUAAAGGGUCGUCCAAAACUCCCAGACUAGAGUGCAGGAGAGGAAAGCGGAAUUCCCGGUGUGGUGGUGAAAUGCGUAGAUAUCGGGAGGAACACCAGAGGCGAAGGCGGCUUUCUGGCCUGUAACUGACGCUGAGGCGCGAAGGCUGGGGUAGCGAACAGG
rnacentral:rRNA from 1 species